GGCUCUAAUGGAAGAAGCCAAUAACAUAAAAAACAGAUAGGUAACCAGUUGAUCACAAUCAGUUAUAGAUUUCUUUGUUCCUUCUCCACUCCCACUACUUCACUUGACUUGCCUUUA
rnacentral:Y_RNA from 1 species